UACGGGGGGGGGCAAGCGUUGUUCGGAAUUACUGGGCGUAAAGGCUCGUAGGCGGCCAACUAAGUCGGAUGUGAAAUCCCCAGGCUUAACCUGGGAACUGCAUCCGAUACUGGAUGGCUUGAAUCCGGGAGAGGGAUGCGGAAUUCCAGGUGUAGCGGUGAAAUGCGUAGAUAUCUGGAGGAACACCGGUGGCGAAGGCGCAUCCUGGACCGGCAUUGACGCUGAGGAGCGAAAGCCAGGGGAGCAAACGGGG
rnacentral:rRNA from 1 species